UAGUGUUGUCUGAGUAGUGUCGUAACAAUGAAUAGGCAAAAUAACGAAAGCAGUAGAAUCGAGCCCCUGGCUUUCUUUCAAGUCUACCCAUUUGUUGAUCUAUUACUGAAUUAACCAAUAGGCAUUAUAGAACUGAAGAGUUUAUUUGUUUGUUUGUACACUCUAAUCUCAUCUCAGAUCGCACUUGAAAAAAUAUAUUAUGGUAACGAUAAGUUUCUUUUUAUAAAGUCGAGCCAAGGCGAAGACGCGGGUCAAACUGCGUGCGGUCGUACUACUUAUAUGACGUAUAUUAUUUAGUAUUAAGGUCUUUCAUGAAAUACUGUAUUCUUCAGUAGAAAGUCGUGAUUUUAUCCACGUGGGUAUCAUGUUGACACUGACCGACAAGCACGUGCGUACGUACAGUAACAGUGCAAAUGGCUCCAAUCGCUGUUCUAUAGACUAUAGAGUCAUUGUCUAUAGAGAUCAAUGGAUAACGUGAUCUGUUCCAAGUCAUUAUAAAUUAACUAGCUUCUGCCAGCGGUUUCACCCGCAUCCCGUGGGAACUACUUCCCGUACCGGGAUAAAAAGUAGCCUAUAGCCUUCCUCGAUAAAUGGGCUAUCUAACACUGAAAUAAAUUUUCAAAUCGGACCAGUAGUUCCUGAGAUUAGCGCGUUCAAACAAACAAACAAACAAACAAACUCUUCAGCUUUACUCCGUUCCCUACAAAACCGAUGAUGCACAAACGCAAGUCAUUCCCAUGAUGGAUAGCCAUAAGAAAAGUUAGAUCAUAAAUGAUGGUGAUGACUCGAUAAAAAUUAGCUUGGAACUGGGCACACAUCUCUUAUCACUACACGUCUGAUCGUACAUCGUACGAUUGUAAGAUAAAACGUCUAGUCUAGUGAACACUGGUUAUCGAGUUUGUUUAGUAGUUCAGUAGCUUAUGUUAACAAUGGCGCAAUUUAACAUUAGAUAUAAAGAUAGCGAGAAUAAGGAAGUAGUUCCGUCCAGGACUUAAUAAAGCUUUAUGGGUAGAUAGAAGCCGGCUCCGCAGUUGACUUCGAGGAACAGUCCGAUGAGGUUGGAGCCCACCAUGGAGCCCACGCGACCCAUCAUCAUGGACAGGCAAAUCGCCAUCGCUCUGGAAGAUAUUAUGUAGCCAAAUAUAAGUAUUAAAGGUACUAUUAGACAGAUUAAUGUGUAGGAAAGAAAUAACUUAUGAGUAGUCUUAAACAGAUCAAUGUCUAGGAAAGAUAUUAUAUGAAUUCUAUUUA